rnacentral:rRNA from 1 species
GAUGAACGCUGGCGGCGUGCCUAAUACAUGCAAGUCGAGCGAACAGAUGAGGAGCUUGCUUCUCUGAUGUUAGCGGCGGACGGGUGAGUAAAACGUGGGUAACCUACCUAUAAGACUGGGAUAACUCCGGGAGACAGGGGCUAAUACCGGAGAAUAUUUUGAACCGCAUGGUUCAAUAGUGAAAGACGGUUUCGGCUGUCACUUAUAGAUGGACACGCGCCGUAUUAGCUAGUUGGUAAGGUAACGGCUUACCAAGGCUACGAUACGUAGCCGACCUGAGAGGGUGAUCGGCCACACUGGAACUGAGACACGGUCCAGACUCCUACGGGAGGCAGCAGUAGGGAAUCUUCCGCAAUGGGCGAAAGCCUGACGGAGCAACGCCGCGUGAGUGAUGAAGGUCUUCGGAUCGUAAAACUCUGUUGUUAGGGAAGAACAAAUUUGUUAGUAACUGAACAAGUCUUGACGGUACCUAACCAGAAAGCCACGGCUAACUACGUGCCAGCCGCCGCCGUAA